UCCCCAAGGAUAAAUCCUCUUUUGCAACACAGAACUCAUUGUUCUGCAUGACUUCUGAUACAGAUAAGAAGUGACAUG
rnacentral:snoRNA from 1 species